AAAAAAGUGGCCAUUUUCAUCUUUCUGUGCCGAAUGAAAAGAGAAAGAAAAUAAGAGAACCAAGCUAGGUAUUUGGCCCUUGUUCAAGCAAAUUAAGAUCAAAAAUUAAAGAAAUCAGAUUUGGAUCGGGGAAAGACAAAAGUGGUUGAGUAGCCGAUUUAACAGUCGACGAUAUCCGAGAUUUUGGAAGUUGGUUACGAGCUCGGGGACCGUCAGCAAAGUCUAUCACACUAUCGACAUCUUUUGGGUACUUUGAUAAAUUUUUGAAUUCGAUAUUAUGGCAUGUAUAGGUCUGCUUAUGUUUUUGGUUAGUUUUGGAACAUGUAUAUAAAUGGCCAUGCGAAAAUGGGGUUUAUAAUUUUGCAUAUUGAAUUAUGGUAUAAGUUUGUGAUAUA